AUUAGUUUAACUUCACACACUAAAAUACUUUAAUUGGCAGCUAAGAAACUCAAAAUACAUUUUAAUUUUCGUUUAAUUGUAGUACUUAAAAAAUAUACAGUCAUGAAGAGUAUUUCAACAAAUUUGUUAUGGUUUUUACAAAUUAGCAGUGGUUUUAAUUAUCGUGAUGUUUUCUUUUCAUCCUUGUAAAAUUCUAAAUAUUUCGGUAAAGAUAAAAGGUACCACUUUGUGAGGGACGAGAUGUACUUCCGUAAUGUAUAGGAGAAACUAACCCUAACCCUAACCCUAACCCUAACCCUAAC